CCUACGGGUGGCAGCAGUGGGGAAUAUUGGACAAUGGGGGAAACCCUUAUCCAGCGACGCCGCGUGAGGGAAGAAGGUUUUCGGAUUGUAAACCUCUGUCAGUGGGGACGAUAAUGACGGUACCCACGGAGGAAGCCACGGCUAACUACGUGCCAGCAGCCGCGGUAAUACGUAGGUGGCAAGCGUUGUCCGGAAUUACUGGGGGUAAAGGGAGCGUAGGCGGGAUGUGAAGUCAGAAGUGAAAAUUAUGGGAUCAAAUCAUAACCUGCUUUUGAAACUGAUAUUCUUGAGUGAAGGAGAGGAAGGGGGAAGUCAGGGGGGAGAGGGGAAAGGGGUAGAUAGAAGGAAGAA
rnacentral:rRNA from 1 species